ensembl:misc_RNA Metazoa_SRP Metazoan signal recognition particle RNA
GCCGGGCACGGUGGCUCAUGCCUGCAAUCCAAGCAUUUUGGGAGGCCGAGGUAGGAGGAUUACGUGAGGUCAGGAGUUCGAGACCAGCCUGGCCAACAUGGUGAAAUCCUGUCUCUACUAAAAAUACAAAAAUUAGCUGGGCUUUGGGGUGGGUGCCUGAAAUCCCAGCUACUCUGGAGACUGAGGCAGGAGAAUCACUUGAACCCGGGAGGCGAGGUUGCAGUGAGCUGAGAUUGCACCAAGGCACUCCAGCCUGGGCAACAGAGUGAGACCCUGUCUCA